GGUUUUAUAGUUUAGGAAAAUACCAGACUGCAAUUCUGGAGACAUAGAAAUAUUAAGACUU
rnacentral:tRNA from 1 species